CAAUAGCGUAUAUUUAAGUUGCUGCAGUUAAAAAGCUCGUAGUUGGAUUUCGGGUGGGAAUGGCCGGUCCGCCGUUUCGGUGUGCACUUGCUACGCCCACCUUGCUGCCGGGGACGUGCUCUUGAGUUCACGCUCGGGACACGGAGUCGGCGAGGUUACUUUGAGUAAAUUAGAGUGUUCAAAGCAGGCCUACGCUCUGAAUACAUUAACAUGGAAUAACACGAUAGGACUCUGGCCUAUCUUGUUGGUCUGUAGGACCGGAGUAAUGAUUAAGAGGGACAGUCGGGGGCAUUCGUAUUUCAUUGUCAGAGGUGAAAUUCUUGGAUUUAUGAAAGACGAACUACUGCGAAAGCAUUUGCCAAGGAUGUUUUCAUUAA
rnacentral:rRNA from 1 species